GGCCCCGUGGUGUAGCGGCCUAACACGCCACCCUGUCAAGGUGGAGAUCGUCGGUUCAAAUCCGAUCGGGGUCGCCA
rnacentral:tRNA from 3 species